GGAGUAAAUCUAAACGGCCGCGGAAUUUUAACCGUGCUAAGGUAGCAUAAUCAUUUGUUCUUUAAUUAAGGACUUGUAUGAAUGGUUAAACGAAAUAAAACUAUCUAUAAAAUAUUAUAUAAAAAUUAUUUUUAAAGUGAAAAAACUUUAAUAAAAUAAAAAGACAAAAAGACCCUAUAGAGUUUUAUUCAUUAUAAUAAAUAAAUAUAAAUGAAUUUAGUUGGGGCAACUAAUGAAAAAAGAAAUUUCUUUUAAUUAAUUUUAAAUAUAAUCAUUACCUUAAUAAUUUAAAAUAAAUUACCUUAGGGAUAACAGCGUAACUUUUUUUGAGAGUUCAAAUCGAAAAAAAAAAUUAC
rnacentral:rRNA from 1 species